rnacentral:lncRNA from 1 species
CCCUGAUCUCCCAAAAUUUGGUCGAGAUCUAACAACUCCUUUUUUUUUUUUUUUUUUUUGAGUUUUACUUGCUUCCAACACAAGGAAGGCAAGUUUUUCCUGCUUCCAUGAUGAUGGAAGCGAACCAGUUCAAUUCCAGCAGGAAAGAUGAGUUUUUUUUCCCCUGCUUCUAGGAUAGUAGACAGCAGUCUUUAUUUAGCCUGAGACCCAUCCCUAGGUAAGUAACUGAAUUGGGGUUUGUCGUGGCUAAAGAUUAACAACCAGCUGGUGUUAAUUUGCUUACACUUCAGCCUGAGACCCAUUCCUAGGUAAGUAACUGAAUUGGGGUUUGUCUUGGCUAAAGAUUAACAACCAGCUGGUGUUAAUUUCUGCUUACACUUAACAGCACUCACAUUAGAAACAACUUUUGGUGCCGCAAAAGAAAUAGCACUCGAACAGAAAUUUUCUCAGCAAGGCAAAUUUACUUCUGCAGAAGGGUGUAGCUUGCACCAGUCAUGAUCACAAGAGCACACCGAGUGGGAUAGGGUGUAGGGGUUCAGUUAGGAUGGUGGGAAAAAUUGUAAAAUAAACACAAACCUUCUUGGAAAGCUGGAAGGUUUUUGCAAAAGCCUCAGGAUAGAGUUAUGGCUGACAGCAGCCUAAUCCUCCUUGAGCUAUAGCAAGGGUAAUUAACAUAGGAAUGUAGAGGAGUCUGUCUAAAUAGCUUGUUGACUCAUGUGGUCCUAAGACUAACCUUUGACCAUCUGCAGGUGCAUGAUUGCUCUCUACAUGGUAAUUACCUUCUAGUGGUGUUUACUUGAGAAUUUUGUCAUUUAAUGUGUGCCAUAUAAGUGACAGAGGGCCAGCGAGUGGGGGCCAUGGUUGCAAGUCUUUACAACACUCUCUUGGGAGUCUGUAAAUCGCCUGAACUCUCAGAAUAAUAUCUGUAUCAGGGUAUUUAUUCAUCUGUUGUUGGGUCAGGGUCUGCAGGAUGGACCCCUGCAGCUGGUGCCCUGUGUGAGGAUCACUACAAAGGAAGCACGAAGGACCCCCUGAAAAUGAAGGGAACUGCAGCAUGGGAUGCAACAUUCUUGGAAGAACUGAGAAGAGUACUCACUCAAAUUACCUUCUGUGUGGUUUCUAUGGUUUCUCCACACUGGUUGAGAAAGUUCUGAAAACCGCAAUCCAGAGGAUGGAAUAGUAGGAAGUCAGAUCCUGAGAGUCCUGGGGACCCUGAGGAACAAGCUUGCUCACAUCUGUGUUUUGUGAGCAGGAAAGGCUGAACACGAAGGCCCUGGGCCGAGCUGCAGAAGUCUCUCCUCUAAGAUCUGUUGGCAGAGGUAACAGGUAAGAAAUGACAGAUUUCUCCUUGUAAGGAAGUCCCAAUCUCUCCUCCUCAACCCCAAGUUUCAUUUUUCUCAUUCAUCUCUCCAUUUCUGUUCAACAAUGCUUUGCAUGUAAUUGACACUAUACAAAUGCUUGUUGAAUGAACAAAUUAAUACACAAAAAUAUCAAUGAAUAAAUGCCAACCCCAGAAAUAUCUGGUUAUGCCUGUUUGAAUAGUCCUAGAGACUUUCAUCCAUGUGACUGGCUUACUGUGAACCAUCAAUGACAAUGUAGCACAAAUGCUAGCGGGAUACGGAGGAGUCUUUUCCUGUUAGAGCUGGAAGAGGCCCUAGAGCUUAUCAUAUCCCAAAGUCCCAAACCAGUGAACGCUAGCAGAGUAUACUUAUUUACCAUGCAUAAUCUUGUUGCUGCUGAUGUUGACUGUUACUUUGGAAUUAGUUACCAACAUAGAAAAAUUAGGAGACUUCACAAAAAGUGAUUCAGGGGCUGUUUGGGGAAAAAAACUAGAAAAUAGCUACAGAAAAUAGCCUGGGCUGACUAGUUGCUGCCCCUCUUGCAUUCUAUUUUAUUAGUGUAUUUAUUCUUCUUGGUCUUCUUUCAAGAAUGGCUCCCAUUUUAGAUGGAGUGUGUUCUAUUCAUUUAAUGCAGCUCCCAACCACCCCCAGUGCACCUGAUGCAUAGACAGGACCUGUCCAGCCCUGGUAGCAGUUGCAUUUGUGAUGCCUAAUUUAAUCCUAUGCCACUCCACUACCCUUUUUUCAAUAAGAAAACUGAGGCCCACUCAAUUUGCCUCCCUAAAAAUGUGUCUGAUUUGGGUCUCAUUCCUACAUUGUCUUCCAUCCACUGCCAUAGUAAACACUGAAAAAUACAGAUGUAACAAGGUCACCCUUCUGCUUAAAAUCCUUCGGUGGCUCCUUACUAGUUUGGAAGAUCCCAGUCUUCUUGUCAUGGCUAAUGAGACCUUUCAAUGCAAAGCCUACUUUACCAGCCUUAACUCUGACAACGCUAAUAAGCCAGCCACACCAAACAUCUUCAAGUUAUUUUACUCUGCCAUAUCGUUUUGUGCCUCACUAUCUCUGUCUAUGCUGAUCUCUUUGCCUGGAAUGCCCAUCCUUAUCAUUUGUCUGACAAACUCAUGCACAUUCGGCACUUAGCUCAGGCACCUGUGAUUCUGCCCUGCCAAUGCCUCCACCCUCCUCCUACUUCUCCUCCUCCUCCAUCAUCUCUGAGCCAUAGGGCUAAGCUCACACCUCUAUUUAUAGCUCUUAGAACAGUCAGUUAUAACUUCCCUACUAGAGUAUGUGCUCCUUGAGGGAAGAGACCACAGACCAUUCAUUUUUAUCUUCUGCAUUUUUUCCCAGUGUUCAAUAAAUGUUGAAUAAACAAAUGAUUAUCUUGCUCCAGGUGACUUUGUUAGUGACCUAGCUGUGAGAAAA